rnacentral:tRNA from 2 species
GGGGCCAUAGCUCAGCUGGGAGAGCGCUUGCAUGGCAUGCAAGAGGUCGUCGGUUCGAUCCCGUCUGGCUCCACCA